AUGUCGGAGUCUUUGGCGGCGGUGGACAUCGCCGGAGCGGCGGUCGGGGUGCGCGAGGCGCGGCGCCUCUUGCGCUGGCUGUGCGUGUGCGUCGCAUGUGUGUGGGUGUGUGGCGGCGGGCACGGGAGAUGGGGAUCGGGUCGGUGGUGCGCUCCGGCGCGGCGCCUCUUGCGCUGGCUGUGUGUGUGUCGCGUGUGUGUGGGUGUGUGGCGGCGGGCACGGGAGAUGGGGAUCGGGUCAGGGGGAUGUAGGUUUAGGAGGGCUGGGAGCCAAAAAUGGGCCAGAUGCGGCCCAAUGGAAAGAGAGAGACAAAGCGAGUUUGGGCUGUGCUGGCUUUAA
rnacentral:rRNA from 1 species